rnacentral:rRNA from 1 species
AACGAACGCUGGCGGCAUGCCUAACACAUGCAAGUCGAACGAGAACUUCGUGUUUAUUGGCGCAGGGGGGGGUAACGCGUGGGAACUUGCCCUUAGGUUCGGAGUAACUCCCUGUAGGGUGUGUUCAUACCGGUUGAUGUCAUAGGACCUAGGAUUUCUCGCCUUUGGAUGGGCGUGGGUUGGAUUGGCCAGUUGGGAGGGUAAAAGCAUACCAAGGCGGCGUUCCAUGGCUGGUCUGGGAGGAUGAUCAGCCACAAUGGGACUGCGACACGGCCCAGACUGCUACGGAAGGGAGGAGUAGGGAAUAUUGUAGAAGGGGCGAAAGCCUGAUACAGCAGUGCCGGGUGAGACAUGAAGGCCUUAGGAUUGUGAAGCUCUUUUACACGAGGUGAUAAUGACGGUACCGGGUAAAUAAGCUCCGGCUAACUCCGUG